AUCAAACUCUAAGCAUCUGUCAUAUGUUAGACUUAAUUAGCUCGAGCCCAAUCGUGAAUCCCAUGAAAACUUCUUUCCAUAUUCAUACUGCUAUGGCCACAGAUUUAUGAACUCAGUCUUUUAGGUUGCAUAGGAUUACUUCUUAACUACUACGGCCGAUAGAUCUCCUAUAAGUACACUCGUACUUCUAUAGUAAAUUUACUACAGUCAACAUCCACUACAAGGAUCCAUAUGGUUAGGGACUAUAUUUAUGCGUAGUCAAACUACAGCAACCCCAUUAUGAGCAGUUGAAGCACC
rnacentral:lncRNA from 1 species